rnacentral:rRNA from 1 species
GAUGAACGCUGGCGGCGUGCCUAAUACAUGCAAGUCGAGCGAACGGACGAGAAUCUUGCUUCUCUGAUGUUUUCGGCGGACGGGUGAGUAACACGUGGAUAACCUACCUAUAAGACUGGGAGAACUUCGGGAAACCGGAGCUAAAACCCGAGAAUAUUUUUAACUGCAUAGUUCAAAAUUGAAAGACGGUCUUGCUGUCACUUAUAGAUGUAGCCGCGCUGCAUUGGCUAGUGGGUAAGGUAACGGCUUACCAAGGCAACGAUGCAUAGCCGACCUGAGAGGGUGAUCGGCCACACUGGAACUGAGACACGGUCCAGACUCCUACGGGAGGCAGCAGUAGGGAAUCUUCCGCAAUGGGCGAAAGCCUGACGGAGCAACGCCGCGUGAGUGAUGAAGGUCUUCGGAUCGUAAAACUCUGUUAUUAGGGAAGAACAUAUGUGUAAGUAACUGUGCACAUCUUGACGGUACCUAAUCAGAAAGCCACGGCUAACUACGUG